UGUUGCUGUGCCACAGAUGAGGAGUCUGACCAGAAUGAUGCGUCCUCAGGGCUAGGAAUGUCCUGGUAUAUGGUCCUGGUCUCAGCUGUCACUGCUGGCUCUGUGCUUCUCCUGAGUCUGCUCAUCCUCUUCACCUGGGUCAUCCCCAGGUGUUUUCAUUCACAUAGUAGAGAAGUGACAGUAUCCAGUUCGAUGGACAGCUAAUAAACGAGACACACACCUGCACAGGAUGAAGAUACGAUUGACGUUUUCCAGCAACAGACAGGAGGCCCUACUAGCAUGUCAAGUACUCCCCACAUCUUCCUCCACCCCCCAGACGGCUGCUUUGCAGCUGUCCCUUUCCCACCACAGAACCAAUACCAUGCGGAAGAAGUCCUGCUCACAGUA